rnacentral:lncRNA from 1 species
GUCUGCUGCCGGCGGCGCCCACUAACCUGCUAGUGGGGGAGCCCCGCACCGCCGUGGCCAAUGGGCUUCGCCGCUUGCGGGACCGGCAGCCAGUGGGCGGGCGGGAAAGCUGGGCUAAGCCCUGGGGCACCCUGGGAGUCGUAGUUUUUCGCCGUCGAGGAGUUCCUGCAGAGCGGGCUCACCCCGCCCGGUUGCCAUUAGUUACCCGGACGCACCUCCCACCCCACCACCGGAAAAGGAAAGCUGAAGCAGAAAGGCUAAAAGCAACUUGCCCCCGGGGUCCUGAUAAGUUGGCAAAUUGGGAAUUAGACCCAGAUCUGCCUGACACCAGAGUCUGAGCCUUUUAACACUGCCUGUCUUUCCUGUGAAAACCAGACAGCACCCGCUCUCAAGCAUGAGAUGAUGCCUCAACUGAUCACCAACUCUGCAGAGGCAGUCACUGAUACUAUCAUUUUCAUCUCCUAAUUGGAUUCCUAGGCAAAAGUGGACAUAUUCAACCUACAAUUAAAGAUGCUUAUAUUUUACAACCCAGCAAUUCUACUUCUGAUAUCUUAGGGGAUCUAUUGCAUGUGUGUACGAGGAGACAUUGGCAGGAAUAUUCCUUCCAACUGUAUUAUAAUAGCAAAAAUGUUGAAACAACCUGUCUUUCUGUAAGGGGAAUCAAUGGAUGAAUUGUGGGUUAGUCAUACAAUGGAGUACCAUACAACCAAUUAAAUGAUUUACAUGCCAUCGAGAUAGAUAAAUCUUAAAAACAUAAUGAG